UCUUCCCUGGCCUUGCCCUCUCUCUUUCUGCCCUGUAGCCGCGGGCGUCCAAAUGAAGCUGGAAUUCCUCCAGCGCAAAUUCUGGGCGGCAACGCGGCAGGAUCUGGACUGCUUCGUCAUCGACAACAACGGGUUCAUUCUGAUCUCCAAGAGGUCCCGAGAGAGUGACUAUGUAUGACUAUCAGGCCAUGUGCAAACCCUCGAGUCACCACCACAGUGCAGCCCAGCCCCUGGUCAGCCCAAUUUCUGCCUUCUUGACGGCGACCAGGUGGCUGCUGCAGGAGCUGGUGCUGUGAGUGGGGGUAGACACGGGGCUGGUGGAGGGCUGCAUGCGAGGGUGGCUUAGGAGGGUGUCCUUGAGCAGGAGGCUGCAAGGUCUCCAGGACAACCCACUUGCUACCAGACCCCGGGGAAGGAGGGCACAAUCCCUGGGCAUGGACGCCACCUCUUCCCUGCAUGCUGCCCCUGGGAGGGACCUCAUUGCUCAACCAGAGCCCU
rnacentral:lncRNA from 1 species